GCCCCACCAGCCCAGUGUUCAGACUACCUGUCCAGGAGAUUGCAAAGGUGUACAGUAGUCUGCACAUUGGUUAGGCUGGGCU
rnacentral:pre_miRNA from 1 species